CUACCAGCUAAUUCUGUCCGAGAUUGGGACGAAUUGGAAAGAAAAUUCCAUGAAAACUUCUACAGAUCAGAACCUGAACUUUCGGUUACUGCUCUAGCUCAGUUUUGUCAAAAGUCAAGAGAAUUGGUUGAAGAAUAUUUAAACCGAUUUAAAAUGGCAAGAAGCCGUUGCUUUGUUAGAAUGUUAGAGUCAGAAUUUACUAAAAUGGCAGUUAAUGGACUGCAUUUUAAAAUAAAAGAUCAUUUUGAAGAUAAGUAUUUUUCAAAUUUAUUUAAUUUGGGCGUUCGGGUUGCUCAAUAUGAGCAAUUCAGGAACAAUGAAGAUCGGCCUAGGUGGAGCCGAGUGGUCAAAGGGGUUGAUCUAAGGGCCAAAUAGUUGAAAGCAUUAACUCCCUUAUGCUUCCGAAAAUAUAGUAGCACUAGUUGUUGCUUUUUUUACUAUAGCAGUAUAUAUAUAUAUACUAUAACAAAAACGGUGUAUAGUGACACUUUUAAAUGUCGGUACAGAUAAAAAAAAGUACUGUUGGCUAAAUUACCGACACUUUUUAAAAGUGUUGCUAUAUGUAGGGUCGCUAUAUGUAGGGCUGCCUUGAUGUUUGGCACCCACUCCUCCAGCGACCUAUGGCGAAAGGACAUGUGGUGAUCAUAGUCCUCUACAGUCCCUGCGAGAUCCUCGCUGUUGAACUCCAGCCGCCGGAACCCUACCUCGUUUGUUGCGGUGGUGGAGGAGGAAAAUGGGAGAUGAUGAUUAAUUUUUUUUCCCUUUUUUAUUUGUAAUCGGGCCGAGUGAGCUAGGUGGGGUUCGUUAAGUAAAAUUUUUUUUUAUUUUUGAUUGGAUUGAGCUUUAUAUUUAGGCCUUAUUAGAUUUUUUAAAAAAGUUUUAGCAUAAAUGGGACACUUUUGUUGGACACUUCUACAAAAGUGUCCCAAAAAUAUGUCCCUAUAACCUAAUUCUGUUGUAGUUAUAUAUAUAAAUAUAUAUAUAGAGUAGGUCUCCCGUACUUUCGAAAGUACGGAGGCCUCCGUGCUUGUAAGUUGUUAUCGAUGAUAGGACAUCCGAUUUGACGAUCGGCUCCGUUAGGCAUAAUCUACGCUGUUGAAACUAUCUAGAAACCAAAUUUUAUAAUUUUUCGACUUCAUUUACCAAGCGAUCAAAGGGUCUCAAAAUUGACUAUUUGAACGGCCGAUGUGGCACGUUUUUAAGUUCAACGGUGUAGAAGUAUCCAAAUUACAUGAAACUUUAAUAGAAAAUUCUACUUAGCAUCAAGAGCAAGAACAAUACUUCCGAUUUGAAAUUUGAGUCCUUUAUCGCUAUUUUUUAUGAGAUUUUUAUUUUCAGCCGUUCAUUUUGAAGCUACUCGUUCACUAGGCAAACAAAGUCAAAAAAUUAUAAAAUUUGGUUUCUUAAUAGUUCCAAUAGCGUAGAUCAUNUAUAUAUAUAUAUAUAUAUAUAUAUAUAUAUAUAUAUAUAGCAGGGCUGCUGUGCUCUCAGGAGCAUAGAGCCCUUCGUGCUCCUAAGCCGUUUUUGAUGAUGGGACUUCCAAAUCAACAAUCGGCUCCGCUAGACUUGAUCUAGCAUAUUUGAAGUAUAUAGAAAAUAAAUUUUGCGAUUUUUCAAUAUCGUUUACUUAGUGAUUGAAAGGGUUCAAAAUCAACGGCUGAAAAUAAAAAUCUUAUAAAAAGUAGUGAUAUAGUAUUAAAAUUUUCGAUCAGAGAUAUUGAACUUGUUGUAGAUAGUAUAAAAAAUUUUCUAUCAGAAUUUCAUCUGAUUUAGAUACUUCUACGCCGUUAAACUUGAAAUGGUAGAUAUCGACCAUUAAAAAUUGUUCAUUUUGAAUCUUUUUGAUCACUAAGUAAACGAUAUCGAAAAAUCGCAAAAUUUAUUUUCUACAUACUUCAAAUAUGUUAGAUCAAGUUUAGCGAGCCGAUCGUCGAUUCGGGAAUCCUAUCAUCAAAAUCGACUCAGGAGCACGGAAGCACGGAGGGCUCUGUGCUCUUGAGAACACAAAAGACCUACUAUAUCUAUACUAUAUAUAAAAGCGUAUAGGAAUUCCGACAAUGACAGACGGAAUCCAAAAAGGAAUAAAAUAAUAUUCCCUAUGAAUGAUUAUGAUUAAUUUGUUAAAAAUAUCUCAAAUAAAAAUUAACGGUUAUGAUCAAUCUAUUAAAUAUAAAAUAAUAUUCCCUACGAAUGAUUAUGAUUAAUUUGUUAAAAAUAUGUCAAAUAAAAACGAACGGUUAUGAUCAAUCUAUUAAAUUUCUACUACAUAUAAAAAUCUAUUCCCUAUAAAUGGUUAUGAUCAAUUUGUUAAAAAAAUAUCUCAAAUAAGAACAGUUAUAAUCAAUCUAUUAAAAAAUAGUAUUCGCAUCCAUCUAUAAAUUCAAUCCUAUUAUAAUCAAUUUGUUAAAAAAUAUCUCAAAUUAAAACAAACGGUUAUGAUCAAUUUGUUAAAAAAUAGCAUUUCUAUUAAUAUAUUUUACAUUAAAAUUAAAAUUUGAGUUUAAAUUAUGAAUUAAAUUUAAUUUUUUGAUAUCAAAUUUGAAUUAAUAAUUAAUUUUUUUAUUACCGUGGAUCAAAAUUAAAUUUUAAAUUUUAAAUUAAAUGUGAAUU
rnacentral:lncRNA from 1 species